rnacentral:rRNA from 1 species
AGUGAACGCUGGCGGUAGGCCUAACACAUGCAAGUCGAACGGCAGCACAGGAGAGCUUGCUCUCUGGGUGGCGAGUGGCGGACGGGUGAGGAAUACAUCGGAAUCUACUCUGUCGUGGGGGAUAACGUAGGGAAACUUACGCUAAUACCGCAUACGACCUACGGGUGAAAGCAGGGGACCUUCGGGCCUUGCGCGAUUGAAUGAGUCGAUGUCGGAUUAGCUAGUUGGCGGGGUAAAGGCCCACCAAGGCGACGAUCCGUAGCUGGUCUGAGAGGAUGAUCAGCACAACUGGAACUGAGACACGGUCCAGACUCCUACGGGAGGCAGCAGUGGGGAAUAUUGGACAAUGGGCGCAAGCCUGAUCCGGCCAUACCGCGUGGGUGAAGAAGGCCUUCGGGUUGUAAAGCCCUUUUGUUGGGAAAGAAAUCCAGCUGGCUAAUACCCGGUUGGGAUGGCGGUACCCAAAGAAUAAGCACCGGCUAACUUCGUGCCAGCCGCCGCCGUAA